rnacentral:rRNA from 1 species
CCUACGUGGUGCAGCAGUCGAUAAUCAUUCACAAUGAGGGAAACCCUGCUGGUGCGACGCCGCGUUGGGGCAUGAAGGUCUUCGGAUUGUAAACCCCUGUCAUGUGGGAGCAAAUUAAAAAGAUAGUACCACAAGAGGAAGAGACGGCUAACUCUGUGCCAGCAGCCGCGGUAAUACAGAGGUCUCAAGCGUUGUUCGGAAUCACUGGGCGUAAAGCGUGCGUAGGCUGUUUCGUAAGUCGUGUGUGAAAGGCGCGGGCUCAACCCGCGGACGGCACAUGAUACUGCGAGACUAGAGUAAUGGAGGGGGAAACGGAAGUCGCGGUGUAGCAGUGAAAUGCGUAGAUAGCGAGAGGAACACUCGUGGCGAAGGCGGGUUCCUGGACAUUAACUGACGCUGAGGCACGAAGGCCAGGGGAGAGAAAGGGAUUAGAUACCCGGGUAGUC